UACGUAGGGUGCGAGCGUUGUCCGGAAUUAUUGGGCGUAAAGAGCUUGUAGGCGGUCUGUCGCGUCUGCUGUGAAAAUCCGGGGCUCAACCCCGGACUUGCAGUGGGUACGGGCAGACUAGAGUGUGGUAGGGGAGACUGGAAUUCCCGGUGUAGCGGUGAAAUGCGCAGAUAUCGGGAGGAACACCGGUGGCGAAGGCGGUUCUCUGGGCCUGACCUGACGCUGAGGAGCGAAAGCGUGGGGAGCGAACAGG
rnacentral:rRNA from 1 species